rnacentral:rRNA from 1 species
AUUGAACGCUGGCGGCAGGCCUAACACAUGCAAGUCGAACGAGUGGCGGAAGGGUGAGUAAUGUCUGGGAAACUGCCUGAGGGAGGGGGAUAACUACUGGAAACGGUAGCUAAUACCGCAUACCAUCAGAUGGGCCGCAAUUGGAUUAGCUUGUUGGUUGGGUAACGGCUCACCAAGACGACGAUCCCUAGCUGGUCAGAGAGGAUGACCAGCCACACUGGAACUGAGACACGGUCCAUACUCCUACGUGAGGCAGCAGUGGGGAAUAUUGCACAAUGGGCGCAAGCCUGAUGCAGCCAUGCCGCGUGUAUGAAGAAGGCCUUCGGGUUGUAAAGUACUUUCAGCGGGGAGGCGUUACCCGCAGAAGAAGCACCGGCUAACUCCGUGCCAGCAGCCGCGGUAAUAC